UUUUGUAUAAACACGUCUGUUUCUAAUCUAUCAUAUAAGCUUUAUAAAAUACAUAAG
rnacentral:tRNA from 1 species